AUCCAAGCCUCAAUACUCAAUCAAAUUGAACUAAUUAGUAAUCUAAUUACUAAUCAAUCCUCCUAUAAUUCACCAACAAUUAGUGAAUUGAUUUAUUACAACUUUUGCAUAGGAUUAAUCAUCAAUCGAUUUGGCUGUUUUAUCCUAGGAUGAUUCUUAAUCGUCGAUCAGCUAUAUGAUCAGUCAGAAAAUUCUUUUGAGUGUGACCCUAUAGGUUUGAACCUAAGCUGAUGGUAUAGGAAUAAAUUUUCUAUACCAAUCAAAGUGACCAUCUAGCAAUGAUACCCGACGUUCAGAUAGGUUAAAAGAUCGCGAAGUAUCAUUCAAGAACUUAUUGGCAUAUGGUUAUCGUAUAAUUCAUCUCUUUGACCCAAAUGCUCAAGAUGGCCU
rnacentral:lncRNA from 1 species